rnacentral:rRNA from 1 species
AGAGUUUGAUCCUGGCUCAGGACGAACGCUGGCGGCGUGCCUAACACAUGCAAGUCGAACGGAGCAAAGCCCUUCGGGACUUUACUUAGUGGCGAACGGGUGAGUAACGCGUGAGGAACCUGCCUUCCAGUGGGGGACAACAGUUGGAAACGACUGCUAAUACCGCAUGAUGCUUUUGAGGGACAUCCCUUAAAAGCCAAAGCUUUAUGUGCUGGAAGAUGGCCUCGCGUCUGAUUAGCUAGUUGGUGGGGUAACGGCCCACCAAGCCGACGAUCGGUAGCCGACCUGAGAGGGUGAUCGGCCACAUUGGGACUGAGACACGGCCCAAACUCCUACGGGAGGCAGCAGUGGGGAAUAUUGGGCAAUGGAGGAAACUCUGACCCAGCAACGCCGCGUGGAGGAAGAAGGUUUUCGGAUCGUAAACUCCUGUCCUUGGAGACGAGUAGAAGACGGUAUCCAAGGAGGAAGCCCCGGCUAACUACGUGCCAGCAGCCGCGGUAAUACGUAGGGGGCAAGCGUUGUCCGGAAUAAUUGGGCGUAAAGGGCGCGUAGGCGGCUCGGUAAGUCUGGAGUGAAAGUCCUGCUUUUAAGGUGGGAAUUGCUUUGGAUACUGUCGGGCUUGAGUGCAGGAGAGGUUAGUGGAAUUCCCAGUGUAGCGGUGAAAUGCGUAGAGAUUGGGAGGAACACCAGUGGCGAAGGCGACUAACUGGACUGUAACUGACGCUGAGGCGCGAAAGUGUGGGGAGCAAACAGGAUUAGAUACCCUGGUAGUCCACACUGUAAACGAUGAAUGCUAGGUGUAGGGGGUAUCGACCCCUUCUGUGCCGCAGUCAACACAAUAAGCAUUCCGCCUGGGGAGUACGGCCGCAAGGUUGAAACUCAAAGGAAUUGACGGGGGCCCGCACAAGCAGCGGAGCAUGUGGUUUAAUUCGACGCAACGCGAAGAACCUUACCAGGUCUUGACAUCCACUUAAACUUACAGAGAUGUAAGGUGUGCUUGCACAAAGUGAGACAGGUGGUGCAUGGUUGUCGUCAGCUCGUGUCGUGAGAUGUUGGGUUAAGUCCCGCAACGAGCGCAACCCUUAUCUUCAGUUACUAACGCGUGAGGGUGAGGACUCUGAAGAGACUGCCGGGGACAACUCGGAGGAAGGUGGGGACGACGUCAAAUCAUCAUGCCCCUUAUGACCUGGGCUACACACGUGCUACAAUGGCCACGACAGAGAGAAGCGAAAUCGCAAGGUAGAGCGGAACUCAAAAAAGUGGUCCCAGUUCGGAUUGUGGGCUGCAACCCGCCCACAUGAAGUCGGAGUUGCUAGUAAUCGCGGAUCAGCAUGCCGCGGUGAAUACGUUCCCGGGCCUUGUACACACCGCCCGUCACACCAUGGGAGUUGGGAGUGCCCAAAGCCGGUGAGGCAACCGCAAGGAGCCAGCCGUCUAAGGCAAGACCAAUGACUGGGGUGAAGUCGUAACAAGGUA